GGACCCGGGCUCAACCUGGGUCC
rnacentral:misc_RNA from 1 species